rnacentral:lncRNA from 1 species
UGUGGCUCAUUUUUAAUUUUCUUUUCUAAGAGGGUGGUAAAGGGUUAUUUUCGUUCAACGUUUUCGGCCUUUUCAUUUUACGUGUUUUCGCGAUUUGGUGUUGUAUUUCUCGUUUUCUCGUGUUUGGUUCGAUGUGCGUGCUUCGUAUUUCCCCUUAUUUAUUUUCCGUGUUUCGUGUCGGUGGUCUUAAUUUCUCGUUCUUGCAUUGUUC